rnacentral:tRNA from 1 species
UCCCUGUUGGACUAGUGGCGAGCAUGUGGCACUGUCACCGCCACGGCCUGGGUUGGAUUCCCGGCAGGGAG